CUUCCGAACCAGCACCUAAAAAAAAGAAAAAAGCCCACCCCCCUCUGCCGGCGGCGCGACCUCCCCAGAUCCUCCGAUGGCGCGACCUCCCGAGAUCCUCUGGCGGCGCGGCCUCCCAGAUCCUCGCCGCCGUGCCCAAGCUUGGGCGCCGACCUAGCAGCCCCGUGCGCCGCCCUGCCACUUCCCUGCGCCGCCGCCUGCGCACAACCGCCGUCGCGACCCACCUCCCCGCACCGCCACCUUCCCACCAGCGCCGCCACGGGAUCCACGCACCUCCACGCGUCGCAGGUGCCUGUGCUCGUCGGCGUGCCCGCGUUCUUCCCCGUUGACGAGAUCGAGCGAGUGCCUCUGGUUCCUCCGCCAAGUCUCCUCCCCCAUGCGCUGCAGGCCUCCCCGAGGCGCCGCGUGCCAGAAACCCACGGCUGUGUCUCCCGCCCUCCGGCUCUUCCUGACUUCCCCCGGUGAGGCUCCACAGCCACCGCACCGCCUCAUCCCGGUGGGGCUCUUCCACCGCGGUGCCUAGGCCGUUCAAUGACAAAGCCCAGGUAAGUUCAUAGGCGCAAUGUCCCUUGGAUCCCGCUGCAACCAUGCUAUUCUCGCCAGCGCACCAUCCAUGACGGGCGCCAUUUUCUGUUUCUUCACUACAUAUGUGAAUCCUCUCCUCAAAUGGCCAGUUGAUGUAGACCGCGCCAUCUUAAAGGAAAGCCAGUGACAGUCUGUCGAGUGAAACCGGUGCACUGUCAAGCGAACAUACAUGUGCAGCUGACAAUUUGGCCGGCGGCAGCAACAUUUCUUGGCACGUGGUUGUUGGUUUUGGCGGGCAAACAAGCAGCAACAAGCAGCUGCAGGCAAAAGGUACUAGCAGGUGAAAAAAGAAUUCUAGAUCAACAAUGUUUUACAUCGCGACCUCACUUGUUUAUAAUUUGAUGGUAGGCUGUUAGAUUUAGUCGACAGUUGAUGGUGUCAUGUCGUUCCUACUAUUGAAUGCACUCUGAAUUUGUAUGGUCAAUGCUAUGAAUUAUUGAAGCGGAUGGACAGGUGUUUGAUUGGCUCCUCUGACUCCAUUCGCCAUGCCACUCACCUCGCGUCGCUGGACCACCGCGGUCACAGGCAGAAUCCUUUCGUUCAGUAUCCAGCGCAAGCAAAUCUGAAUCCGCACGCGCAAGCCUUCCGUUGCCGAGUCAGCCCUCCUGCUGACUGCUUCUGCAGUAGCAAGUCGCGCCACCUGCACCUGUUAUCACCACAAGACGUUCUACUACACCUAUAUGUUCUACUACGACUAAAC